AGUGAACGCUGGCGGUAGGCCUAACACAUGCAAGUCGAACGGCAGCACAGUAAGAGCUUUCUCUUACGGGUGGCGAGUGGCGUACGGGGUAUGAAUACAUCGGUAUCUACUUUUUCGUGGGGUCUAACGUAGGGAAACUUACGCUUAUACCGCAUACGGCCUACGGUUGAAAUCAGAGGAUCUUCGGACCUUACGCGAUCGCAUGAGCGGAUGGCGGGUUAGUUAGUUGGCGGGGCAAAGGACCACCAAGGAAACGAGCGGUAGCUGGUCUGAGAGAAUGAGCGGCCACACUGGAAGUGAGACAGGGUCCAGACUCAUACGGGAGGCAGCAGUGGGGAAUAUUGGACAAUGGGCGCAAGCAUGACCGAGCCAUACAGCGUGGGUGAAGAAGGACUUCGGGUUGUAAAGCAAUUUUGUUGGGAAAGAAAAGAAGCAGGUUAACACCCCGCUGUUCUGACGGAACCCACAGAAUAAGCACCGGCUAACUUCGU
rnacentral:rRNA from 1 species